GUGCGAAAAAGGAGAUAGGAGCAAUAAAUGUGAUUCCUAUCAUACAUAUUAACGAAGUGGCGUAAAGGAUCAGCUGCCAUUUCAACAUCGGAUAUUGGCUCAAGUCUUAUGCUUGACUCCUUUUAUGGCUGCAUGAGAGAGGCAAAUAACCAGAAGGCAUGCAGAGAAAAAUACAGCAAAUUGAUGAAAAUUAGUUAUUUUGUUUCUC